AAUCAACGCUGGCGGCGUGCCUCAGACAUGCAAGUCGAACGAGAAAGUCCCCUUCGGGGGGAUAAGUAAAGUGGCGCACGGGUGAGUAACACGUAGGUAAUCUACCUUCGGGUGGGGAAUAACCCAGGGAAACUUGGGCUAACACCGCAUAAUGCAGCGGCACCACAUGGUGACAGUUGUUAAAGCGGGGGAUUUUCGAACCUCGCGCCUGAAGAGGAGCCUGCGGCGGAUUAGCUAGNGGUGAGGUAACGGCUCACCAAGGUCACGAUCCGUAGCCGGCCUGAGAGGGCGGUCGGCCACACUGACACUGACAUACGGGUCAGACUCCUACGGGAGGCAGCA
rnacentral:rRNA from 1 species